rnacentral:rRNA from 1 species
GAUGAACGCUGGCGGCGUGCCUAAUACAUGCAAGUCGAGCGAACGGACGAGAAGCUUGCUUCUCUGAUGUUAGCGGCGGACGGGUGAGUAACACGUGGAUAACCUACCUAUAAGACUGGGAUAACUUCGGGAAACCGGAGCUAAUACCGGAUAAUAUUUUGAACCGCAUGGUUCAAAAGUAAAAGACGGUCUUGCUGUCACUUAUAGAUGGAUCCGCGCUGCAUUAGCUAGUUGGUAAGGUAACGGCUUACCCAGGCAACGGUGCAUAGCCGACCUGAGGGGGUGGACGGGCACACGGGAACUGAGACACAGUCCAGACUCCUACAGGGAGCAGCAGUAGGGAAUCUUCCGCGAUGGGCGAAAGGCUGACGGAGCAACGCCGCGGGAAGGAUGAAGGUCUUCGGAUCGUAAAACUCUGUUAUUAGGGAAGAACAAAAGUGUAAGUGACUGUGCACAUCUUGACGGUACCUAAUCAAAAAGCCACGGCUAACUACGUG